ACGAACCCCGCACAGACAGCUUCCAAACUAGUAACAGGUGGGGAUGGUUACUGCGAAUAAGACUCCAAUUCCAGUAUUCAAGAACCACUUCAAAAUCCUUCUUCAGAGCUUCUUCCAGAGACAGGCAGCAAAGAACUGCACAACCACCUCCUCCUGGAUGUGGACAACGACACGGAAAGCACCG